AUUGAACGCUGGCGGCAGGCCUAACACAUGCAAGUCGAACGAGUGGCGGACGGGUGAGUAAUGCCUGGGAAACUGGCUGAUGGAGGGGGAUAACGACGGGAAACUGUAGCUAAUACCGCAUACCAUAGGAUGGGCCCAGGUGGGAGUAGGUAGUUGGUGGGGUAACGGCUUACCAAGCCGACGAGCUCUAGCGGGUCUGAGAGGAUGACCGGCCACACUGGGACUGAGACACGUCCCAGACUCCUACGGGAGGCAGCAGUGGGGAAUAUUGCGCAAUGGGGGCAAGCCUGACGCAGCAAUGCCGCGUGAAUGAAGAAGGCCUUCGGAUUGUAAAGUUCUUUCGGUGAAGAGGCGUUACUCACAGAAGAAGCACCGGCUAACUCCGUGCCAGCAGCCGCGGUAAUUC
rnacentral:rRNA from 1 species